rnacentral:rRNA from 1 species
UACAGAGGUCCCAAGCGUUGUUCGGAUUCACUGGGCAUAAAGGGUGCGUAGGUGGCAGGGUAAGUUCGGUGUGAAAUCCCCGAGCUCAACUCGGGAAUGGCAUUGAAUACUAUCCUGCUGGAGGAUCGGAGGGGAGACUGGAAUUCUCGGUGUAGCAGUGAAAUGCGUAGAUAUCGAGAGGAACACCAGUGGCGAAGGCGAGUCUCUGGACGAUUCCUGACACUGAGGCACGAAAGCUAGGGGAGCAAACAGG